rnacentral:lncRNA from 1 species
GAACCGGUUAGUAAUGAAAAACGACGCCAAAAAGCAGAAGGAGUAUUUCGAGAGGAGGAAAAUGCAACAGAGAUUGAGGAAAAUGGGACUUACUCUGCCAACGACUCCUGGAAGCACCAGUUCUAGUAGUAUGGACCUGGUGACCUUGUUCAUAGUCAACCAGAUUGCUGCUAAGAAAGAAAAUAAAGAUCCUCCUAAAGUCGCGGUCCUUGGUAGCUGUAAAGGAAGAUCUCAGUACAAGAGAAAUGCGCCCCUGGUACUCCCAAUGAGCCCCUGCUCUCCGUCACAGCUGGAUUUUGUUGAGAGCCAACCUCAGUACAGGUAGAGCUGGAGUUUGAUCUGUCUAUGCAUCUACAAUCACAUUCAAUAUUAAUCCAAUUCUGUAACUGGUAAAUACUAAAGUGACUCCGUAAUGUGGUAUCAAAGUCUAACCUGUGGCUUGGGAAUUUAAGGUCCAACCACUGGGUUCUGGCUUUAUGAAGUAAGUCAGCAGUAAUAGUAACACCUAUUUCAGGGAGUGUUCAUUGUGUAUAUUCUGUUUAAAUGUCUAGCGUCCAAGCAACAGGAAAGAACAAGCAUGUCAUUCCACGAGGGUUCAGGUGUCGACAGGUCAGUCAUUUUGCAGCUACUCAUCAUGUAUUUUUAAAAGCAAGUCUCAUCUUUGCUCAACAUGACUACAUGAUAGGACCCUCAGGCUCGAAAAGUCCCUUACAUUUUUGCCCGUUAGCUGUCACCAGUGCUGGAGUCAGCUUUCUCAGACAACAGUGCAUCUGACUACCUGCCACCCAUAACUGACCCCCUCAGCCCCUUCUCCUCCACGUCAUCAGCUUCCUCAGGACAAGGUGGUGUAUCAAAGUAUUUCAUAGGACAGACUGAUUGAUCAAAUCACACCAUGGUUAACUUUGCAUUUUUACUCCAUGAGUAUAUUACAUAUCAUUAUACAAUCAAUUCAAUCAAUCAAUUUAGGUCAAUACAAACUUGUUCCCUUAGGAAUGUUCCCCCAGCUGAAUCCGCAACAGAGAAGCCAGAUGCGGACACAACUACCUCCUCACUGCUCCCCUCGACCCUGGGACACCUCAGGGCUGGAGCAGACCAAGUUUCAGCCUUUCUCCCAGCCCAGAGGUAUGACAGACAGUGUCCCCUGGUCUUAUGGAUCUAACACAACCCUCUACCAACUUGAGACACCCACAGCAGCCAAUGUCCUGUUUGGAAGUUCAGAGCCAGAUAACACAGACAAUAGGAACCAUGCAAGACAGGAGGUCACCUUCUCUCUCGACCAACCAGAGGACAGGGAGCAAAUGUUGGACUUCACUUUCAACCAAUCAGAAACUGAGUCGCAGAUUGAGGGGGAUGUCUUUAGGGGCUUCAGCACUGAAGAAAGUGAAGCAGCUUCUCCAUUUGGGAGAGUGGCAUCAAAGAUACAUCUCAAAGAUGAAACACCAGUAAAAUCCUCAACACCACAAACUGUCCCGGACUCACAGUGCAUGAGAGUGGAGCUCUCCAACUGCACUGACACAAACUUUUCAUUUCUUGAACACAACAAUGGCCCGAUGAAUGGCUGCAACUGCUCGCCAAGUUACUCUUGUAGCGGAGGUUACCUCAGUUCAGAUUCAAAUGAUGAAGAAGAAUACUGUCAGCCAAGCCACCAGGCUGCCUCUUCAUAUGUGGACCAAGCCUGUAGUGUAGAUAAGCCAAACCCAAACCGGAGCUUGCAGGAGAAUCCAAAUCAAAGUCACACUCAGCCCAAGCUUCUCACCCCAGUCCUAAAACCCCAGAUUUCAGGAAGUAAUAACCAACAAAUGGGAAGCCACGUAGCUCAGUUGAACUCUCAUCAGGCUCUGGCUGAGACUCUGAGCUCACAGUUGUGCAAAUGCAAGAAAACACCCACUGAAACUCGAGAUGCGGGAACUCAAACUGCUGACAACCCCACAGCUGAGACAUGUGAUGCAUCUACUCAGUACAGCUUUGUUGGAGACACUGCAACCAAAGUCACUGGGUCUAACUUGUGCCUGCCACCUGUUGAUGUGUCAGUGCAGCAUACAGCCACAGGGAGGCAGACCGACACUGCCGCAGAGUCAGAUACACACACACCUUCACCAGGCGAGGUGAGUAGCAGAGGGAAGUACACGCCCUGGAACAAGAAGAAAUCCAGGGCUGAUUCCCUAUCAGGCAGCAGCUUUAUAAACACAUUUACUGCUGACAACAGUGACAGAAAAUUUAUCCUGCAGAGACCCAUAAACCCCUUUCAAGAUGCUCUGAGCAAGACCAAGCAGAGGUAUAAAAAUAAAAGUGAAAGUGAAACAUUGUCUGUAUAAAC